GUGACGAGAGGCGAGUGGCGAUUGAUGAGCGAGGAUUUGAACGCUGA
rnacentral:snoRNA from 1 species